AGACCAUGAUGAGGACAAUCUAACAGGAGGUCCUUGGAACAUUCCAUGCAUCGAGAGAAUGAUUCAUUGGGUCUUUGGUGAAACUGGAGAAUGUCGUUCCUAAGUUU
rfam:Cephalotus follicularis DNA, scaffold: scaffold174, isolate: St1.